rnacentral:rRNA from 1 species
GCAGGGUGAAAUGGGUAUCCGCUCGAAGAGGAGCUCGCGUCCGAUAAGUAAGUUGGUGGGGUAAAAGCCUACCAAAGCGUCGAUCGGUAGCUGGUCUGAGAGGAUGAGCAGCCACACUGGGACUGAAACACGGCCCAGAACUCCUACGGGAGGCAGCAGUGGGGAAUUUUCCGCAAUGGGCGCAAGCCUGACGGAGCAACGCCGCGUGUGGGAAGAAGGCUCUUGGGCUGUCAACCACUUUUCUCAGGGAAGAAUUAGUGACGGUACCUGAGGAAUCAGCCUCGGCUAACUCCGUGCCAGCAGCCGCGGUAAUACGGAGGAGGCAAGCGUUAUCCGGAAUUAUUGGGCGUAAAGCGUCCGCAGGGGGCGCAUCAAGUCUGCUAGUCAAAGGUCGGAGCUUAACUCCGGUGUGGCAGUGGAAACUGGUGCGCUAGAGGGCGACAGGGGUAAAGGGAAUUCCCAGUGUAGCGGUAAAAUGCGUAGAGAUUGUGGAAGAACACCGGUGGCGAAAGCGCUACUACUGGGUCGCACCUGACCCUCAGGAGACGAAAGCUAAGGUAGCGAAAGGGAUUAGAUACCCCUGUAGUCUUAGCCGUAAACGAUGGAUACUAGGCGUGGUUUGUACCGACCCAAGCCGUGCCGAAGCUAACGCGUUAAGUAUCCCGCCUGGGGAGUACGCACGCAAGUGUGAAACUCAAAGGAAUUGACGGGGGCCCGCACAAGCGGUGGAGGAUGUGGUUUAAUUCGAUGCUACGCGAAGAACCUUACCAGGGCUUGACACCCCGCGCAUCUCUCUGAAAGGAGAGAGUGCCUUCGGGAACGCGGAGACAGGUGGUGCAUGGCUGUCGUCAGCUCGUGUCGUGAGAUGUUGGGUUAAGUCCCGCAACGAGCGCAACCCUCGUCCUUAGUUGCCAGCAUUUAAGUUGGGAACUCUAGGGAGACUGCCGGUGACAAACCGGAGGAAGGUGAGGAUGACGUCAAGUCAGCAUGCCCCUUAUGCUCUGGGCGACACACGUCCUACAAUGGUCGGGACAAAGGGAAGCGAACUCGCAAGAGCCAGCAAAUCCCAUCAAACUCGGCCUCAGUUCAGAUAGCAGGCUGCAACUCGCCUGCUUGAAGGAGGAAUCGC